rnacentral:lncRNA from 1 species
GACGCCCGGGGCCCCCAACGGCCAGCACGGUCCGAAUCGACCCCAAGCUUGACCCGAGGGCAGCGGGGCCUCCGGGAAUGCCUGGCCAGGGCGGUGUCGCCGGGAGUGAAUGGGGGAGGGGGCGGCCGGGGCAGGACCCGGGUCAGGGCCACUCUGGUAGUCUCCUGCCCACCCCUCCCCAAGCCGAGCUCCCGGCCUCCCUCCCUCUCCCCCGUCCAGGGCUGAGGACUGGGGAAGCUGAGUCCCGGGACGGGUAUGGGGGGGUUGGGGCUUGGGAUGCAGCCGGACCUCCGGGAACAGCAGGGGGCCCUGGAGCCACCAGGAGGGAGAAGGCCCCGUCCCUGAGCCAGGCUCGCAGGAUGUUUAUCCCAGGAAAUCCAGAGGAUCAGAACCAGGCAGGACCCGGCACUGGGACGGAGGCAGCUGUCUGCGGGGCGUUUACCGUAGAUACGUAUCACCUGUUCUGAGACAGAGCCUUGUAAAAUGUUUCCCGACGUUACGAGGACAGCUGCUGGAAUAAUGAUGCAGGUAGCUGGCACACACGCAGUGCAAAGGUUUCACCAGACAUGGUCUUCUAUGCCUAUCACCUGGUCAAUACGAGCAGCAGCCACGUUAAGGUGUAAUACACACUGGCGUCAUCUAACGUUCCAUGUGAGGAAACUGAGGCACACAAAGGGCAACUGGCUUGCUCAAGGUCGCGUGAAUGGCAAAGCGUGGAUCUGGGAUUCAAGCCCAGACAAUUGGGCUCCAGAAUUGACUUUAUUAGUCAUGAUCACUCCAGAGAAAACAUCAAGCACUUUUCAUUACAUGUUUAAUGAAAAUGAUGUUAAAGUGGUUUUGUAGGAGAAAACAUUUCAUUCAUGUAAAUACAUUUUACUGCAUUCUAAAAUCUAGCAGGAAAAGAUGUGGCCUAACUACCGUCAAGAUCUGGGUACAUUUCAUUGGAAAUACAAGCACAUUGGACAUGGGAAAAUACUGGGGAACUUUACAUGGAAGAGAAUGCAUCUGAUAGUCUGGCGCACUAGCAUUUGCUGGAUUUUUAGGACAUAUGGGAGGCCGGGUGCGGUGACCUCCCCCAGCAAUCCCAGCAAUUGGGGAGGCUGAGGCC